AUUGAACGCUGGCGGCAUGCUUUACACAUGCAAGUCGAACGGUAACAGGCCUUCGGGUGCUGACGAGUGGCGAACGGGUGAGUAAUGCAUCGGAACGUGCCCAAUCGUGGGGGAUAACGUAGCGAAAGUUACGCUAAUACCGCAUAAGCCCUGAGGGGGAAAGUGGGGGACCGCAAGGCCUCACGCGAAUGGAGCGGCCGAUGUCAGAUUAGCUAGUUGGUGGGGUAAAGGCCCACCAAGGCGACGAUCUGUAGCUGGUCUGAGAGGACGAUCAGCCACACUGGGACUGAGACACGGCCCAGACUCCUACGGGAGGCAGCAGUGGGGAAUAUUGGACAAUGGGGGAAACCCUGAUCCAGCAAUGCCGCGUGUGUGAAGAAGGCCUGCGGGUUGUAAAGCACUUUUGGCAGGGAAGAAAGCACUGGCCGAAUACGCCAGUGUGUUGACGUAACCUGCAGAAGAAGCACCGGCUAACUCUGUGCCAGCAGACG
rnacentral:rRNA from 1 species